rnacentral:misc_RNA from 1 species
GAUGAAGAACGCAGCGAAAUGCGAUACGUAAUGUGAAUUGCAGAAUUCAGUGAAUCAUCGAAUCUUUGAACGCAUAUUGCGCUCUCUGGUAUUCCGGAGAGCAUGCUUGUUUGAGUAUCAGUAAACACCUCAACUUCCAUAUCUUUUUUGAAAUGGGAGUUGGACUUGAGUGAUCCCAACGCUUUUCCUCACCGAAAAGUGGCGGGUUACUUGAAAUGCAGGUGCAGCUGGACUUUUCUCUGAGCUAUAAGCAUAUCUAUUUAGUCUGCCUAAAAAACAGAUUAUUACCUUUGCUGCAGCUAACAUAAAGGAGAUUAGUUCUGGUGCUGACUGAUGCAGGAUUCACAAAGACAGGCUUCGGCCGACUUUGUAAACUCGAUCUCAAAUCAAGUAAGACUACCCGCUGAACGUAAGCAUAUCAAUAAGCGGAGGA